rnacentral:rRNA from 1 species
UACCAGCACCCCGAGUGGUCGGGACGUUUUAUUGGGCCUAAAGCAUCCGUAGCCGGUUCUACAAGUCUUCCGUUAAAUCCACCUGCUUAACAGAUGGGCUGCGGAAGAUACUAUAGAGCUAGGAGGCGGGAGAGGCAAGCGGUACUCGAUGGGUAGGGGUAAAAUCCGUUGAUCCAUUGAAGACCACCAGUGGCGAAGGCGGCUUGCCAGAACGCGCUCGACGGUGAGGGAUGAAAGCUGGGGGAGCCAAACCGGG